rnacentral:rRNA from 1 species
AGAGUUUGAUCCUGGCUCAGGACGAACGCUGGCGGCGUGCUUAACACAUGCAAGUCGAGCGAUGAAGUUUCUUCGGAAAUGGAUUAGCGGCGAACGGGUGAGGAACACGUGAAGAAUCUGCCCUCCACUUUGGGAUAACACAGGGAAACCUGUGCUAAUACCGAAUAUUGAAACAUAAGUGGCAUCACUGAGUUUUGAAAGAAUUUCGGUGGAGGAUGACUUCGCGGCCUAUCAGCUAGUUGGUGAGGUAAUGGCUCACCAAGGCAACGACGGGUAGCCGGCCUGAGAGGGCGACCGGCCACACUGGGACUGAGACACGGCCCAGACUCCUACGGGAGGCAGCAGUGGGGAAUAUUGGGCAAUGGAGGAAACUCUGACCCAGCGACGCCGCGUGCGGGAUGAAGGCCUUCGGGUUGUAAACCGCUUUCAGUAGGGAAGAAGCGAAAGUGACGGUACCUACAAAAGAAGCACCGGCUAACUAUGUGCCAGCAGCCGCGGUAAUACAUAGGGUGCAAGCGUUGUCCGGAAUUAUUGGGCGUAAAGAGCUCGUAGGUCGUUUGUUACGUCGGAUGUGAAAACCUGAGGCUCAACCUCAGGCCUGCAUUCGAUACGGGCAAACUAGAGUUUGGUAGGGGAGACUGGAAUUCCUGGUGUAGCGGUGGAAUGCGCAGAUAUCAGGAGGAACACCAAUGGCGAAGGCAGGUCUCUGGGCCAAUACUGACACUGAGGAGCGAAAGUCUGGGGAGCGAACAGGAUUAGAUACCCUGGUAGUCCAGACCGUAAACGGUGGGCACUAGUUGUGGGGACCUUCCACGGUUUCUGCGACGCAGCUAACGCAUUAAGUGCCCCGCCUGGGGAGUACGAUCGCAAGAUUAAAACUCAAAGGAAUUGACGGGGCCCCGCACAAGCAGCGGAGCAUGCGGCUUAAUUCGACGCAACGCGAGGA